CGCCCAUCUAGCGGUCGUGGCCACGUCUCCCUUUAUUCGUCUCCCGACCGCCUCCUUUUAUUCGUCUCCCGAGCGCCGCGUCCUCUCCUCUCCCUUUCUCCUCGCUCGCUUCCUUCUCCGGCAGCACCUCAGCCGCCCCCUUCCUGACGGCCUUCGCCUUCUCCCUCUCCACCAGAGCAGGGCGGCUGGCGCCCCCCCCCCCCCCCCUCUUCUCCCCACCCGACGCUGGUGACGGCCGCCCAAGCACCUCCCCGUCCGCCCGCGCCUCGAGCCGCCGCCGGUGCUCCUCCGGUCGCCCAGAGCAGGGCGGCCGGCGCCCCCCCCCCCCCCCCCCCUCUCCUCUUCUCCCCACCCGACGCUGGUGCCGGUUGGUUGCUCCUUCAUCGUCGAGGGACGUUCGGGGAAGGACCGGAGGUGGGACGCCGACGGCAGGGAGGUAGGUGAGGCGGAGGGUCCCGGAUCCGGCGACGAAGCCAUGGAUGUUCAACAAGAACAUCAUGUUCGCGUUCACCUCCGUGGGCUGCUGCUUCUCCAACAUCGUCUGCAAGAAGUGGUACAUCGACAUGAACAAUAGGGCUGGAGAGUUCAAGGAGCCGGAUUGGUUCUUGAACAGAAAGAAGGGUGGCAUGUUCGAAGGACUACACCUUUAUUUGGUUCCCAAAUUUUUCAUAAGAAUCUGCAACCGUAUGAGUGGCAAGUAAAUUUGGCAUAGGUAAACUGAAAUACUUCAUGUUCUGUAAACAUGUGUGCUACUAUAGUGAACCAUAUGGGAUGCUUGAAGCAGGAUUUAGUUAAUUAGUUUGUGCAAAGACGCUGUAUGUGGUGCAGUAAAUACAUCUGCUCUACUAGAAUUCAUUCACCUCAUAUCUUGAAGUCGGUUUCAUAUAAAUGCUUUGAGAUUUACAGUUCUGGUUGUCGAAUGGACAAGCCAUCAUACUGAAUUCCACUCUAAGCAUCUCCAAUUGGAUUUUGCUUUUGCAACUAUUCAAUUCAGCGCAUCUUGCAGUACAGUACUGCAGCGCACGGAGGAGCGGCGCAACCUGUGGCGCGAGCUGCUGUACAGGAGCGGCGGAGGGAUGGACCUUUUUGUUGUUCCCCGCUCAUGAGCUGUUCUGGGUACGCGCUGUUCUUGGUGCGGUUUAGCUCAUGGGGAAAAUAAGCAGAUGUUUCUUCAAGUAAUUUGGGUAGGCGUUCGCGGAGCUUUGGAUGUAAAUCAGGGUAGACGAGGGCCGGCCUGCUGCCGAUACAAGCCGUCGAGGUGGACGGCCAGCACUAAAUCAUUUGCAGGUAUCUAGAGUUACAUUCCGGUGGCUGAGAUGCAUAUAGUUGUUGGCUGUAGUUCCUUCCAUUUGCCCGCUCGACGCUGAGAUUGACCUUCUAUGUAGCAUGCAACACUCAGCUGGGAAAUGUACUUAUAGGAACUAAUCACUUACUUUGCUGAACUCAGUAUGCUGUCCAGUUUCCGCAGACAUUUGUCAACUGGCAAGAAGGUUGAAGGCACAUCGACUUGCUUCGAUUAAUUGCUGACAAUUCAACCAGAGGGAGCAGCAAGCGACGGAGGCUCCUACACCCCAGGGGCUCGCCUGGGUGGCCCAUGCCAGGGAAGAAAAUGACAGGGAAGCAACGGUGGCUGCUGGACGCAUGUCAUGCUGGCUCUUGAGAGUUGGAUCUUUCGCGGCCUUGACUGGAUGGCGGAAGAUACGCCUCCCAGACGGCUGAGCAACUUCAGAUCCGGCUGGAAAGGGAAUUGUCAAGGGUUGGGCAUUAAGCAUAUUAAGUGCAGGGAAGGUUCACAUGGCGUGAUGUGAAGAUGUAGGUUACCCAAGAUGAACCUGAAUUUCUUGCUCCUGCUCAAAGGAAUAGGAACGUUUCCCGCAAAAAAAAGGAAUAGGACUGUACUCCUCCCAAAAGACAAAAGCAAGAGUAAGUAUUGCUUCUCACAUCUUAUAGAAAAUAAUCUCACAAAUCAAUUUUUCCCUUGAAAUAAGGUUCUUAGUGAGGGCUUCCUCUAAGAUGCUUUCAGAUUUUUGAUUAUCUAGCAUAUAUAUGCAGUGAAGAUGUCUCUCCUUUUUGGUACCACUCUGAAUAGGAUACAUGGUGUUCAUGUUCUGUUAGAUAAUUUUAUUCUUGUGUAGUUUGAUUUAAAAGAUGAUAGGUCAGAAUAACAGGAUGCGAUUAGUUUUGCUUUUGCUGCUGCUACACAUGAUUUUACUUUUGUUUUUGAUUGUUUCUUUUUCAGUUUCUUAAGGCUAGAACACUACAGUGAUUGAUUAAGCACCUGAAGGAUUAAUGAAGCUGCUUGGACUGAAUUUCUCUUUAAAAUACAUGGUGCUUGUUUGGGAUGAUUGGGCAUAAAUAGUUGGGAAUUGGUUUUCUAUUAUAUGCAAAGCUUCAAGCCUUGGGGUCUUGCUGACAUUAGUUGUUUCAAGUUCAGACCUUUUUCACCGCUGACUAUACUCUCUCAAGUUCUGGUAACGGCGGGAGGGAGGCAGAGCAGAGACAAACGGCGCAUUCCGUCAUGCAUGUGUGUGGAUUUGUAUCAUCCUACUACUGUGUUUCUUUGUUUUACAGUAAUAAAUAAAGAGAUGAAUCAGAUUUUCUUU